rnacentral:rRNA from 1 species
AACGAACGCUGGCGGCAGGCUUAACACAUGCAAGUCGAGCGAGGACUCCGGUCCUAGCGGCGGACGGGUGAGUAACGCGUGGGAACGUGCCCUUUGCUUCGGAACAGUCCAGGGAAACUGGGAGUAAUACCGCUUGAGCCCUUUGCGGGUAAGAUGUAUCGGGGAAGGAUCGGCCCGCGUUGGUUUCGGUAGUUGGUGGGGUAAUGGCCUACCAAGCCGACGAUCCAUAGCUGGUUGGAGAGCAUGAUCAGCCACACUGGGACUGAGACACGGCCCAGACUCCGACGGGGGGCAGCAGUGGGGAAUCUUAGACAAGGGGGGAAACCCUGGUCUAGCCAUGCCGCGUAAGCGAUGAAGGGCUUAGGGUUGUAAAGCUCUUUCAGCUGAGAAGAUAAUGACGGUACCAGCAGAAGAAGCCCCGGCUAACUCCGUG